AUGAGUAGCUGCACCAUUUUCAACUGGAAUGUGCGGGGCCUCAACGACCGUGCGCGGAUAUCAACUGUGCGAUCACUCAUUGAUCAGACCCGUUGCUCUCUUGUGUGCCUGUGGGAGACCAAGCGGGAGGUGUUUCCCUCCCUUGAAGUUUCUGAAACUGUUGGGCCUCGGCUUGCUGGUCACGCCAUCCUUCCAGCAACAAGGACAAGGGGAGGUAUCCUGCUCGCCUGGGACACCGAUCUGUUUCAUGUCUCAAACACUGAUCCUUCCCCCUUCGCCAUAACAAUUACACUAAAUCCUCGCACGGGUGAUGCCCCAUGGUCGAUCACCACGGUCUAUGGGCCCUGUGAGGAAGAUGCCAGGCUGCUCUUUUUAGCUGAUCUUGCACGAAUCUGUGCUGUCACUCCUGGGCCAUGGGUAAUUGUUGGAGAUUUUAACCUCAUUUAUGAGGCGCGAGACAAGAACAACUCCAAUCUGAAUAUCCGGAUGAUGAGACGCUUCCGUGAUGCACUAAACAAUAGCGAACUCAAAGAGAUCAAAUUAUCUAGGCGUCGUUUCACCUGGUCCAAUGAACAGGCCGACCCCACGCUGGUCCGCCUUGACAGAGCAUUCUGUGACACGGCUUGGGACCUGAGAUUUUCCAAUGCAAGAUUGCAACCAUUAGCCACGGCUAUGUCCGACCACUGUCCGUUGCUUCUGACCUGUGAAAGAACGCCACGAAGAUCGCCGCGUUUUCGUUUUGAGGCUUUCUGGACCCAUAUUGAAGGGUUCAGAGAGGUGAUUACCUCUGCUUGGAAUCAGCCAUGCCCCCCGCUCAACGCCCUUGGGCGGCUGGACUACAAGCUCAAACGAGAGGCGCGCGCCCUCAAGCUUUGGCAGAAAAAUUGCAUUGGAGACAUUAGACUGCAGUUUCUUAUGGCACAGGAUACACUUCUCCUUCUCGACGCCGCGCAAGAGUCCAGACUCUUGGAGCAGGAUGAGAUGCAACUCCGGCGUGACCUCAAAUCCCGGAUCCUCGGACUGUGUGUGGUGGAGCGCAUUAAGGCGCGACAGCGUGCUAGAGUAAAGUGGUUGUGUUUUGGGGACACAAAUUCUAAGUUUUUUCCACCUGAAAUGCAACAGCCGAUGCCGUAA
rnacentral:rRNA from 1 species